rnacentral:tRNA from 1 species
CCGCCCAUAGCUCAGUUAGGAUAGAGCGACGGAUUCCUAAUCCGCAGGUCGGAGGUUCAAGUCCUCUUGGGCGGG